UGAUCUAUUUAAUAUGUUCCAGAAUCCAGAAUCAUGAGCUUGCUCUUCCCAGUUUGAAGACCAAGUAUAUAUUAAUUAUAUUUACAUUUUUUUUUCUAGUAUUUUUUAUUUUUAUUUUUAUUUUUUUGUUAAGAAUGUUUCAUGGCUAUGCUUUUUUAGAGGUAAUUUUGGUAUCCUUUUUGUGUACACAAAUAAAUUAGGAAUGUGAACUAGUUAACUAGCUUUUUAUUCUUUUCCUCUUUCAGGCUGUCAGUAUCGGUUCUGUUUGCUCCAAGCCAAGUCAGAGUGAAAACCCUGUUAUGCUAGAGAGAGAGGGAAGGAAACGUUCAAGAUUCUGGAUGAGGGACAGAGCGGAUGGAGAAGGGGAAAGGCUGGAUACAAAGGGAGAGAGAGGAACUCAAGUGCUUGAACGCAGGAUCCAUCUGUUCGGUGUAUCGUCUGAUUUCCCCCUCCCAGCACCCUCCUCUUUCUCUUUUUCCUCCCUCACCUCCCAUUAAAACCACGUAAGCCUGAUUUAUCAAGAUUGGCUCUCAGGUAUGUGUGUGUGUGUGUGUUUGUGUGUGUGUGUGUGUGUGUGUGUGUGUGUGUGUGUGUGUGUGUGGUGUGUGUGUGUGUGUUGUGUGUGUGUGUGUGUGUGUGUGUGUGUGUGUGUGUGUGUGUGUGUGUGUGUUUCUUAACAGAACUGAGGGAACGUAUAACUGUGUUUCAUUACCGCUGUAAGAGACGUUAAGAUAAUCAUUCAAAUCGCUCAGAGUCGUACCCCACCCGGCUGCUAAUUCAAUCUGCCCACAGCAAAACAUGCCACUUUUUUUUUUCAACCUAUUUUUAUAGGCUUAUUUGAACAUUAAUUCAUCUCACCUGUUAUGUUUGUUUAUUUGACUUAAAAUGAAUUGUAACUGAAUGCAUGGAGAUGGAAGUACCUGUGUUCCUGAAAGUUUAUGUUCAAAAUGGUAAGUAAACCAAAACACCCUUAAACAAGUUAAUCUUUUGGUAUUUUUUAGCAUUAUUUAUUUAAUCUGUGUGUGUGUGUGUGUGUGUGUGUGUGUGUGUGUGUGUGUGUGUGUGUGUGUGUGUGUGUGUGUGUCGUUUUAGUUAUAUUAUUAUUAUUAUCGUGUGUGUGUGUGUGUGUGUGUGUGUGUGUGUGUGUGUGUGUGUGUGUGUGUGUGUGUGUGUGUGUGUGUUACACUAUCUGACCCUCAAGCACGCAGCACAUGCUGCAGGUUUCCAUCUCUAUUUGAUCCUGGGCACAUGGCCAGCUCUCUCCUAGGUCCACAGCUAAAAACAAACAAACCUCAGUGUACCAUACACAGCUACAAGCAGCCGCCACCACAACCUGUUCGCCUUCCCCACCAGGUAGUCUAGUGUGCUCCAGCCCUGUCAAAACGUCCCGCUUUUAAUGGCCAUCCAACACUCUAAUUCAGGCAGUCUUCUGACUCCUAAUUCUCAUUCUUUUUCUCUCUCGCUUUCCCACCCUCUUGUGUGUCAGAGUGACAAAGGCCUUUGAACGAGGUUCUUAAAUGUGAAACACUCUGUCAUACAAAGCCAGUGAGGACGAGGCGGUGUAAUGCAGGGACGGCCGUAACGAGCGGAACGAGGGUGACAAUUAAGACCAAACAAAAAUAAAAAUAGCGUCACUGCUGCCAUGGUAUUAAAAACAGUGACAUUUACAGACCUGUAUUUAAUUACCAGCUCACGCUGUUCGCCAGGUACCCCAUUACACCAUGUGAUAAAUCUUUCAUAGCUGGAAGUGUAUGUGUAUGUGUGUGUUGGGUCGGGUGGUGUUCUACAAAGAUGAAUGUAUAUAGGCAUUGAUCAGCAAAAUAAAUAUAUGUACAUAGGAAGAAAGAAAGACAAAUAUUUGGGUAAGGAGCAGGGAGCCCCUUGAAAGGUGCAUGAAUGCUGAGUGUGUGUAAGAGCGUUUGUUUUUGCAUGGUGGUGGUGCCUAUUGAGGGACUGUAGCUGGCGGCUAUUCGCUGUCAGUAGACUUUCUGUAGAUGCUGCUUUCCAGCACUGUAGUUCUGUUUUCAAUGGAAGUGGAGUCGAUCUCGCCUCCACUAUUUUUUUGUGUCCAGAGCCAAAAGCAUGGAGAACAUUUUAAGCGUGUUCAUGGGCUAUCAUCACCCAUAUGCUUGUGGUCUUGAUGGCACGAGCAUGUCAACAUUUUAAGUACGUGUUCAUGGCUAUCAUCAC
rnacentral:lncRNA from 1 species